AGAGUUUGAUCAUGGCUCAGGACGAACGCUGGCGGCGUGCCUAACACAUGCAAGUCGAACGGACGAGAGGGAGCUUGCUCCCUCAAGUUAGUGGCGGACGGGUGAGUAACGCGUGAGUAACCUGCCUUUCAGAGGGGAAUAACAUUCUGAAAAGGAUGCUAAUACCGCAUAACAUCGUAGUAUCGCAUGGUACAGCGAUCAAAGGAGCAAUCCGCUGAAAGAUGGACUCGCGUCCGAUUAGCUAGUUGGCGGGAUAAAGGCCCACCAAGGCGACGAUCGGUAGCCGG
rnacentral:rRNA from 1 species